rnacentral:lncRNA from 12 species
AAGUCCUACAUGAUGCUAAGAAGAAAACAUUGUCUCUUUAUAAAGUUCUGAAACUCAAAAUAAUUGAGAUUGUUGCAUGAUGCCGCUGUAUCACUGUAUGUCCCUGUAUGUCCUGAGAAGUUGCACUACUACAGCCUAAGAAACAUCUUAGAUGGCAUCCCUGUUAUCAGAGACAAGUACUUCAUAAUUGGACUAUCUCAAGGAAAAAAAAAAGAGGAGCAAGGAUUGAAGAAAAACCCUGCAGCUAUGCCAGGUUUGCAAAAGUGUUACUGGGGGCCAAAGUCCUCAGUCAGUGCGUAUUGCUAAGAAGUCACAUACCACACCACAGGAGAGUGACAAAAUGUUUGGACUCCUUUGCAAACACGGCUACAGAGAAGUCACCCUUAGUGUCCUGCAGUGAGGUGGAGAAGAGCAGCAUCUGUGACAGGCAGCUCACAGUCCUAGACCACCAGAAUCAGUGAAGAUGACAUACAUCUGGACAGCAUGUGCACUUCUGCCCUGGGAGGAGACCCUGCUCACCCUUCUUGCUCUCGCUCUGCUGGUAUCAUUUAUGUCCUAGACCACCAGAAUCAGUGAAGAUGACACACAUCUGGACAGCGUAUGCACUUCUGCCCUGGGAGGAGACCCUGCUCACUCUUCUUGCUCUCACUCUGCUGGUAUCAUUUACGGGUUGUGAUGUAAAGCAGAGGAAAUGGGGAGUGUAAAUACCGAUCUCACUCUGAAAAGGAUCUGGUUUCCUCAGGUACAGUUCGUGCUUAUCAUUCUUGCGCAAAAGCUAGUAGGUCACAGCUGGUUAAACAAACCCUGCCCAAUUAUAAUUUCCAUGUUUACAACAGAGAGUACUUAACCUUUUAUUACUCCUUUCCACCCAAAUCAAAGGUCUAAUUUUUUGCAUUCAAUUUUACUUUGUUCUUUUUUCAGAGUAAAAGAAAAAGGAAAGCAUUAAAACCCUGUAAAACUCACUUCAAAAGGACUUGAACCUAAUCUCCAAGAUUAACUGAUGUCUCUUAUUUCAGAAUGUACUAACUGCAUAUUAUACUUCAUGUAUAUGAAGACAAGAAAUGGCAUAUUGUAUAUAAAAACAGGAAAACGCAUUAUUCAUGUAAUAAAUGUUGUUUUUUCAUGUCUUCUGGCAAAAAAGUGGGCUGCCUACUAGUAAUUGCACAUCAUAUUUUAAAAUAAUGAUGCACAUUUUUAAUGAGUCAGUUGCUGCCUGCCCCCUGUCCCAGCCAGCAAAAGCACAUUCCUGGAGAAAGAGACCCUGAAUGCCCUCAGUGCAGCAGCUCACAUAUAUGCUUUAUAAAUUAGAUGCUUUAAGAAAAUUUAUUCCAAAU